GUCGUGGUGGAAAUUCAAGGGCUGCGCGGGAGCGCCGUCCGCCCGCCUUCCGGGCAGCCUCAGGACCCUCCGGGGGGCCCCCACCCGGACCUCCGGGGGCUACGGGCCGGGCCGAGCCGGGAGCGGCACUGCCCAGGCGCCUGCGGGCCCCCCCCGGACCACAGCUGCAGCCCCCCGUGCGUGUCGGAGGCGAUGGCGCGCGUUUGGCCGGGAACCGUUUGGGAUUGAAUGAGACAACGCGAUUGGAGCCCGCCGGCGAGCGGGAGAGGAUUCCCCCACCCCCCACAGCCCCACCUCCCCGAAAACGUCUCUCCUUUGAACCCGUUUCGCGGGUCCGGUAAAUGGUUUGCAAAUGAGAUUGCCAUAGACGUUUGCCCUGCAAUUGGCAAAAUGCCAUGAAAUCAAUGACGAGAAAGAAAUGUUAAGAUCCAGGAAAGAUUCACCUGGGAAAGCUCCGACAGCUGCAAACACUCUUAGGAUUGUCACCAAGAGAAACACUGGAUUUUUUACAGUCUUUUCUAGAUAUAAUAAUCCAAAGAGCUUGGGGAUAGGGAAGAUACCCUCCCCACUUAGACCUAUUUCUUCCAUUUCUUAAAGUGCUACACACCGUGUUUAAAGUAUUCACAAGCCUCAGAGAAAGACCAAUGACAAUCACAUCUCUUAGACAAAGCAACAACUAAAACUUCGGUCUAGCAUUUGUUUCAAAGCAGCUCCCAGACAUUGUCAAUUUCACCUUGCUUCAGCCUCCAGCUCUAGAAAAUGGGUAGUUUUAUUGAUAAUUUUAUGGCUGAUAAAGCCAUUAUCACAUCUAACAAUUAUCUGUGAUCCCUUGGUAUCCUCCAAUACCCGGUUUACAUUCCAGUUUCACAUAAUCACUAUCCGGAAGUGCUCCUUUAGGGUGCUGCCUCAGUGCACAGGAGCCAUCAAGUACAACUCUGUGAGCUAGCCAGAGAGGAUGGCUUCAUUUUUAGUUUAACUUUUUCCUGACUACCAAAAUAACACGUGCACUGUAGAAAGACUCGGAAAGACGAGCGGUACCACGAGGCAGAGGGACAAGUCGCCAUUCUCUCCUUCAUCUCCUAGUUAUGAGUCACUGGGGCCUGUCUAGUCCUCCUCCUACGUGGGGUUUUACUGCUCUCACUUUAUAACGAGGAAGCAGGUCUAAGAGCUACGUGGCUCUGCCCGGCGGUCACACCCGGAGGAGACCGCAGGGCCGGGCUUCUGGUCUGCAGCGUCCCCUCUCGUGCCCUGGGGACCAGAGAGGGAAGGGCCUGAGCAGACCAGGCGGCCCAGUCACCCGAAGAGAGGAGGCCCGCCGCAGCGCCCAAGCCGCAAGCGCCGGAAUCCUCCAGCAUCUUCCACUCCUGUCCUAGGCGCCGGUCUUGACAUCCGCUCCGUGAUUGGCCCGCAGGGGGGAGGCUCCGCCCCCCACUUCCGAUGAGGCGGCCCUCCCUGCAGGCCUGGGCUCCCACGCCCGCCCACCCGCAGGCCCCGCCCCCGCUUCCGCAGCCCGCGCUCCCAGCAGUUCCACUUUGACUCACCCCGCGCUGGUGGGUCGGGGUGGCCUCCAGGGCGCCCCUCCCCCCCGACUCAGGCUGAGAAACUGAGACCCGGGCAGCUCAAGUGGUUUUCCCAAAGCCACUCGUCACUCUAUGUCCCAGGCACGGUGCUGGGCAUUGUCAUAAUAAUACUAAGGACAAUAACCCCACAGCCCCUGGGCACCUGGACCAGGUGAUUCACACUUGUAAUCCAGACAGCAGUGAGGUAGGUACUUUGAAGCCUGUUGUUUAGCUGAGGAAGAUAAGGCCUGAGAGAAGGCAAGGAGUCUGCCUAAGGUCACACGGCUCCUUAAACUGCAGCUAGAACUUUUCUUCCCCGACUUUUUCUGAAGAAUGUUUUCACCAUAUAGAAAAAUGGGAAGAAUUCUAGUGUUCAGCCAUCACCUAGGAUUCAACAGGCGUUUCCGGUUUGCCAUAUUUGCUUUAUCUCCCUCUAUAGGUGUGGAUUUUUCCUGGAUCGCUGGAAAGUGAGUUGCGCUUAUCUUGAAACUUCAUCCCUAGAUAAUUCAGCAUAUUUCAGCAUGUAGCUCCUAAAAUAAGGACAUUCUCUAACAUAACCACAUACUGUAUACAGACCUAAGAAAACUGACAUUAAUUCUCUAAUAUGACCUAAUAUCUAGUCCUUAAUCAGCUCUUCCUAGUCGUUUCAAAUGUGUCUUCUAAGUUUGUUUGUUUUUGAUGCAGGAUCCAAUUAGGUGCAUGCAUUACAUUUGGUUAUUGUUUCGUUUUAGUCUCUUUUAAUUAGAACAACUCCUCCAGUUUUUUUCCCUAUGACAUUCACGUUUUGAAGUUCAGUUUUCUGUAGGGUGUCCCGCGUUCUCCAUUUGUCUGACUGUGUCUUCAUAGUGUCAUUUAACUGGUUUUUCUAACUCCUGCAUUUACUGCAAACUGGAAGUUAGGUCUAAAGGCUCUAUUAGAUUUGGCUUAUGUUUUUUAUCGUGGUAAAAUAUACAAAAGCUAAAAUUUACCAUUUGAACCAUUUUCAAGUGUGCAGUUCAGUGGCUUUAAGUACAUUCACAAUGUUAUGCAGCCAUCACCACUCUCCAGAACUUUUUCAUCCCAAACAGAAACUCUGUCCCCAUUAAAGACCUGUUCCCCGGUACUCCCUCCCAUCAACCUCUCAUAACCACCAUUCUACUUUUUGUCUGUAUGAAUCUCUCUACUCUAAGUACCUCCUGUAAGUGGCAUCCUACCAUAUCUGUCCUUUUGCGUCUGGCUUAUUUCACUUAGCAUAGUGUCUUCAAAGUUCAUCCAGGUUGCAGCACCUAUCAGGAAUUUCAUUCCUUUUUAAGGCUGAAUAAUACUCCACUGUAUGAAUAGAUCACAUUUUUUUUGUGAGGUUUCCUUUCUGCAACCCAUCUGCCCCUUCCCUCUGUGGAGUCCUUUUGUUUCCCAACCACCAGGAAGCAAGGUCAACCCUCCUCAAAACCGUGAGCUACUCCCUGGGUCGCUCCAAGCAUCGCCCUCCUCCUUCUGAGCUUGAGAUUCCCCUUUCAGCCCUUCAGGAUGCUCAGGGUCGUCUGCUGAGGAAAAUGCAUUCUCGGGGAGCGGGACAAUGGAGCGCUUCACCCCGAGCGUGGAUUGUUAGCCGUGUGGCGUUUCAAGAGAGAGGCAAGGGGGCUGAGGGUGGGGUUGGGUCAGCCUCCCUUUGCCUUCUGGUCUGCUGCCAACCCCAGAAAACCUGCCAAGGGCCCUCUCCCUCCACACGGUCUCCGGUGAACGCCCCCACCUCAGCUUACCACAGGGGCCCACCUGACCUGCCCUCGGCCCCACCUGACCACCAGGGCCUUUCCCAGCUUUCCUGGCAGUUCUGCCCUGGUCUUCCUGCUCCCAGGCCAAGCCCCUCCCCUGAAGGCUGUGUUUCUGCCCCCUCCAGGCUAUGUCUGAAGGAGAAGAUUUCCCAUAGAUUGACUUGAAAAAGGAAGAAAAAUAAGAGCAUAAGGCCACGAUUUUGCAGGCCCAGGGCUGGUUUAUUUCCUCGCUACCAAGCUCAGCUUCCUGUUGGCUUAUUACCAAAUAAUUUCUUCUGUAAUAGCCUCCUUUCCUGGAGAAGGAGGCCCCAGCACCGACGUCUUCCUAAGUGCGAUGGGGGGUGUGUGUGUGUGUGUGUGUUUGGGGGGUAGGGGACAGGCAGCUUUAUUGUUAUUCUGAACUGGCAGACAAAGAGCAACCCAUGCAAAUAGGUUUGCAAAUAGGACACACGUCCUGCCCUUCGUGAGUAGGGUGGGCUGGGCCGGGGGAAGGGCAAAGUCAGUGUUAGCACCGAGAUGAAGCUCCCUGGGCCACUCUCCACCCUUGCAUUCUAGCUAAAUCAUAACUUGGGGAGGAGGGGAAGCAAACCCAUGUAGCCGGGAAGGUUCCCUUCCUGGAAGUUCAGCUGCUUUCAGACUAGAUCAGUGGAGUGGGGUGAAGGGACCCACGUGGCAUUCAGGGCUGAAUUCCCAUGUCACUUCUUGUUUAUUAGAUGACCUUGGACGUGUCACUUGAUAUUUCUGAGCCUGUUGCUUUACUGAUAAGGCGUGGUAAUUUCUGCCUCCCGGGGUUACUCUAAAGAUUAAAUGGGGUAGGAUAUUUGAAGGGCCUUAAAGGCGUUCAGUCCCUUCCAUUUAGCUGGCCUAGCUGACCUCUCAGUCUCUUGAAAUAGAAAACUCAAGCUAUUCCGGUGUGUUUUUCUCCGUUUCCUACUUCAGUUCAUUUCCAGUUAACGGCCCUGGAGUCAUUAUUCCAGCUCCUUCUGUCCGCAUCUUUUUCUGGGAGUCCCCAUCUUCUCUCCAUCAUCACCACAGUGUUCUUCAGAGCAGUGGCCGGCCGCAUUGGUGUGUCCCUGGCCUGGGCCUGCACCCUGACAGCUGUCUCCACGCCUGUGCUGCGAGUGUGCUGUGGGGCCGCCGCAUUACUGCACCGUGGCGUCUGUGCGAAUAGCCUCCCCGGGCAGUCAGGCUGAGCGUGGCGGUGGAGGAAGGAGGCAGUGCCCGAGAGCAUCUAUGGUUGGAUUAAAUGAGGAAGAGGGCUCAUGACCCAGAGGUCGGAACCUGGCGAUGAAUCCCAGCUGCACCAGGAAGCAUUUCCAGAGGACUCUCAAAAUCAUCCUGCCAGCUUGCAUUAAACAUGGCCUUGCCUUGCACCAGAUUCAAGCACAGCCUUGGCCUAGAGAGCACGGAGAUGCCCGAUGAGCCUGGGUCCACGCCCGGACUUUCUCCUAUUUAACGACCAGGAGGACGGCUUUGAAGUUCUCCGUCUCACUGUUCCAAGGGUACUAGCAUUUGCUAAAGAGUGUUUCUUCCUGGAUUAAAUGUUAUCUCUUUAAAACUUU